CCCAACACGACUCCUGGGACUUGUUGGAGUAUGCUGGAGCUCUAAGGAAGGUUCCUCCAUCUUCUUCUUCUUUUCUCUCUCUAGGAUUUUCUCUCACUAAGUUGAAGACGCCGUUUUGCGCCGGUUUUGCGCCGCGCUUGUCGCUCGCUGGUUGGGUGGACUAGGGGACAGCUUUUAAAAGAGUUUGUUAUGGUUUCCUGCAGCUAGACAGGAGGUAUCUAGCUGUGAUUUACCCACUUUGAUCCAGGGAAAAGUUGCUUUGAGGCUUGAUACAGCAGAUUUUCGAAGUUAAUUGAGCUUAUUUGGUGACCUUGGGGACUGGUUUAGAAGGUGUUCUACCCUGUGGUGAGCAGGAAUUUCAGCAGGAGGGUAAUUGACCCUUGGACCAUCUUCGACUGGCAUUGGAGGGCCUUUUAGAAGCUUAACUUGAGGAUUGAGACUUAGUGGAGCUGAUCCUGGGGAUUCCUUUGGACUGACUUGAGCUUGGUACAAGAGCCAUCUGCAGGAGAGGCUAGGGAUCGUGG